GCCUGGCUGGCUCCAUCAGUAGAGUGUGUGGCUCUUGAUCUCAGAGUCAUGAGUUCGAGCCCCAUGUUGGGCA
rfam:Canis lupus familiaris chromosome 9, whole genome shotgun sequence.